rnacentral:rRNA from 1 species
CAGUCGCCGCGGGAAUACAGAGGGUGCAAGCGUUAAUCGGAAUUACUGGGCGUAAAGCGCGCGUAGGUGGUUCGCCAAGUUGGAUGUGAAAUCCCCGGGCUCAACCUGGGAACUGCAUCCAAAACUGGCGAGCUAGAGUAUGGUAGAGGGUGGUGGAAUUUCCUGUGUAGCGGUGAAAUGCGUAGAUAUAGGAAGGAACAUCAGUGGCGAAGGCGACCACCUGGACUGAUACUGACACUGAGGUGCGAAAGCGUGGGGAGCAAACAGGAUUAGAUACCCGAGUAGUCCCUGUCUCUUAUAA